AUUGAACGCUGGCGGCAGGCCUAACACAUGCAAGUCGAACGAGUGGUGGACGGGUGAGUAAUGUCUGGGAAACUGCCCGAUGGAGGGGGAUAACUACUGGAAAAGGUAGCUAAUACCGCAUACCAUCGGAUGUGCCCAGAUGGGAGUAGCUAGUAGGUGGGGUAACGGCUCACCUAGGCGACGAUCCCUAGCGGGUCUGCGAGGAUGACCAGCCACAAUAGAACGUGGACACGGUCCAGAAUCCUACGGUAGGGAGCAGUGUGGAAUAUGGCACAAUGGGCGCGAGCCUGAUGCAGCCAUGCGGCGUGUAUGAAGAAGGCCUUCGGGUUGUAAAGUACUUUCAGCGAGGAGGCGUUACUCGCAGAAGAAGCACCGGCUAACUCCGUGCCAGCAGCCGCGGUAAUUC
rnacentral:rRNA from 1 species